AUGAACGCUAGCUACAGGCUUAACACAUGCAAGUCGAGGGGCAGCAUGGUCUUAGCUUGCUAAGACUGAUGGCGACCGGCGCACGGGUGAGUAACACGUAUCCAACCUGCCGUCUACUCUUGGACAGCCUUCUGAAAGGAAGAUUAAUACAAGAUGGCAUCAUGAGUCCGCAUGUUCACAUGAUUAAAGGUAUUCCGGUAGACGAUGGGGAUGCGUUCCAUUAGAUAGUAGGCGGGGUAACGGCCCACCUAGUCUUCGAUGGAUAGGGGUUCUGAGAGGAAGGUCCCCCACAUUGGAACUGAGACACGGUCCAAACUCCUACGGGAGGCAGCAGUGAGGAAUAUUGGUCAAUGGGCGAGAGCCUGAACCAGCCAAGUAGCGUGAAGGAUGACUGCCCUAUGGGUUGUAAACUUCUUUUAUAAAGGAAUAAAGUCGGGUAUGGAUACCCGUUUGCAUGUACUUUAUGAAUAAGGAUCGGCUAACUCCGUGCCAGCAGCCGCGGUAAUACGGAGGAUCCGAGCGUUAUCCGGAUUUAUUGGGUUUAAAGGGAGCGUAGAUGGAUGUUUAAGUCAGUUGUGAAAGUUUGCGGCUCAACCGUAAAAUUGCAGUUGAUACUGGAUAUCUUGAGUGCAGUUGAGGCAGGCGGAAUUCGUGGUGUAGCGGUGAAAUGCUUAGAUAUCACGAAGAACUCCGAUUGCGAAGGCAGCCUGCUAAGCUGCAACUGACAUUGAGGCUCGAAAGUGUGGGUAUCAAACAGGAUUAGAUACCCUGGUAGUCCACACGGUAAACGAUGAAUACUCGCUGUUUGCGAUAUACUGCAAGCGGCCAAGCGAAAGCGUUAAGUAUUCCACCUGGGGAGUACGCCGGCAACGGUGAAACUCAAAGGAAUUGACGGGGGCCCGCACAAGCAGUGGAGUAUGUGGUUUAAUUCGAAGCAACGCGAAGAACCUUACCAGGUCUUGACAUCCGAUGCAUAACACAGAGAUGUGUGAAAUCCUUCGGGACAUCGAGACAGGUGGUGCAUGGUUGUCGUCAGCUCGUGUCGUGAGAUGUUGGGUUAAGUCCCGCAACGAGCGCAACCCCUAUCCUCAGUAGCCAGCAUUUAAGGUGGGCACUCUGGGGAGACUGCCAGGGAUAACCUGGAGGAAGGCGGGGAUGACGUCAAAUCAUCAUGCCCCUUAUGAUUUGGGCUACACACGUGUUACAAUGGGGGGUACAGAGGGCCGCUACCACGCGAGUGGAUGCCAAUCCCCAAAACCUCUCUCAGUUCGGACUGGAGUCUGCAACCCGACUCCACGAAGCUGGAUUCGCUAGUAAUCGCGCAUCAGCCACGGCGCGGUGAAUACGUUCCCGGGCCUUGUACACACCGCCCGUCAAGCCAUGGGAGCCGGGGGUACCUGAAGUGCGUAACCGCGAGGAGCGCCCUAGGGUAAAACUGGUGACUGGGGCU
rnacentral:rRNA from 1 species